GCAAAUUAUGUUUGGACCGGCC
rnacentral:siRNA from 1 species